rnacentral:rRNA from 1 species
AACGAACGCUGGCGGCAUGCCUAACACAUGCAAGUCGAACGGGAUCCAUGCUUCGGUAUGGUGAGAGUGGCGGACGGGUGAGGAACACGUGGGAACCUGCCCUAAGGUUUGGGAUAACUGCGGGAAACUGCAGCUAAUACCGGAUAUACCCGAGAGGGGAAAGAUUUAUCGCCUUAGGAGGGGCCCGCGUCUGAUUAGGUAGUUGGUGAGGUAACGGCUCGCCAAGCCUGUGAUCAGUAGCUGGUCUGAGAGGAUGAUCACCCACACUGGGACUGAGAUACGGCCCACACUCCUACGGGAGGCAGCAGUGGGGAAUAUUGGACAAUGGGGGCAACCCUGAUCCAGCAAUGCCGCGUGAGUGAAGAAGGCCUUCGGGUUGUAAAGCUCUUUUGCCUGUGACGAUGAUGACGGUAACAAGAGAAUACGCCCCGGCUAACUUCGUGCCAGCAGCCGCGGUAAUACGAAGGGGGCUAGCGUUGUUCGGAUUUACUGGGCGUAGAGGGCGCGUAGGCGGUUUGACAAGUUGGGCGUGAAAGUCCUGUGCUUAACCUAGGGACUGCGUUUGAUACUGUC